rnacentral:lncRNA from 1 species
CAGACAGUAAGGGCUACAUGGUCUUGCUGAGCUGUCCACCCAGCAAUUAGAGGGGCAUGAGAAGCUGCACAGUGACAACCACAAGGAAGUCAUCAGCAUGAGUCAUCUGCAAAUAUAGCCAACUCCAUGUCAUCUCCUUGCUUCAGCAGGUGGAUCAUUUAUAUUUUCCCUGGAAGCCAUCCGCUGGUCUAAAUGCUGGGGUUGAUUUGUUUUCCUGUUGCAGGGGAGAAGGUGGUUUUCCCAGAAGGAACUAGAAUAUGCCUGGCUCUGGCAGAGUUCCAGACACAAGAGAAAGACAGGGAGUUUUUGAAGUUCUCUCUCUCCUUCUGUGCAAAUUAAAGGUCCACUCAUCUUUCCAACCCUCCGACCCUGAGAGAAACACACAGCUCAGAUCCUACCAGAUUCCCCCUUGAAGCUUCAAUAUGAAAGUAGUUGUGCAACAGGUUUUGGGAUUUUGUUUGUUUGUUUACAGCAUAUUCUCCAGUCAGAGGUAGGUGGCUUGUACAUAAUAUAUUCUCCAUAA